ACCUGCCGCUUACUCGGGGAUGGCCUUUCGAAAGAAAGAUUAAUACCCGAUGGUAUAAAGAGUUCGCAUGUUCUCUUUAUUAAAGAAUUUCGGUAAGCGAUGGGGAUGCGUUCCAUUAGAUUGUUGGNGGGGUAACGGCCCACCAAGUCUACGAUGGAUAGGGGUUCUGAGAGGAAGGUCCCCCACAUUGGAACUGAGACACGGUCCAAACUCCUACGGGAGGCAGCAGUGAGGAAUAUUGGUCAAUGGGCGAGAGCCUGAACCAGCCAAGUAGCGUGAAGGAUGACUGCCCUAUGGGUUGUAAACUUCUUUUAUAAGGGAAUAAAGUGAGGGACGUGUCCCUUUUUGUAUGUACCUUAUGAAUAAGGAUCGGCUAACUCCGUGCCAGCAGCCGCGGUAAUACGGAGGAUCCAAGCGUUAUCCGGAUUUAUUGGGUUUAAAGGGAGCGUAGGUUGACAUAUAAGUCAGCUGUGAAAGUUUACGGCUCAACCGUGAAAUUGCAGUUGAUACUGUAUGUCUUGAGUGUACAAGAGGUGGGCGGAAUUCGUGGUGUAGCGGUGAAAUGCUUAGAUAUCACGAAGAACUCCGAUUG
rnacentral:rRNA from 1 species